UGCCCUUGCUCAUAUAAAUCAGCCCAAAGCAAUGAAGCUGGGCUGCAAUUCCUCUAGUUUUGAUUCAUCUGUUGGAUCCCACAGAGGAGGAGAGCUGUGUUGUGAUGCCACUAUGAAUGUACUCCUGGACUACUGGACAGGACCACAAGCGUCUGACGGAAGCUACAAUAACAUACUUCAUGAUGGCAUUGCCCAAAUGAUAUCAUGGUACAUCUUAUGUCAUCAGCUACAUCAUAUGCUUUCCUAGCUUAUGGGACCACUCACAGCAGACCUCCAUGGAUGAUCUUGGAGUACAGGGUGUCCAAAAGAAGGCACUACUCCAAAUAGAGAUUCUUACCUCCAAU